rnacentral:rRNA from 1 species
GGCCUUAUACAUGCAAGUCGAGCGCAUCCUUCGGGAUGAGCGGCGGACGGGUGAGCAACGCGUGGGAAUGUGCCCUUCUCUACGGAAUAGCCACUGGAAACGGUGAGUAAUACCGUAUACGCCCUCAGGGGGAAAGAUUUAUCGGAGAAGGAUCAGCCCGCGUUAGAUUAGGUAGUUGGUGGGGUAAUGGCCUACCAAGCCUACGAUCUAUAGCUGGUUUUAGAGGAUGAUCAGCCACACUGGGACUGAGACACGGCCCAGACUCCUACGGGAGGCAGCAGUAGGGAAUCUUGGACAAUGGGGGCAACCCUGAUCCAGCCAUGCCGCGUGAGUGAAGAAGGCCCUAGGGUCGUAAAGCUCUUUCGCCUGUGAUGAUAAUGACAGUAGCAGGUAAAGAAACCCCGGCUAACUCCGUGCCAGCAGCCGCGGUAAUACGGAGGGGGUUAGCGUUGUUCGGAAUUACUGGGCGUAAAGCGCGCGUAGGCGGAUUGGAAAGUUGGGGGUGAAAUCCCGGGGCUCAACCCCGGAACUGCCUUCAAAACUCCCAGUCUAGAGUUCGAGAGAGGUGAGUGGAAUUCCGAG